UACGAAGGGGGCUAGCGUUGCUCGGAAUUACUGGGCGUAAAGCGCACGUAGGCGGUCUUUUUAAGUCGGGGGUGAAAUCCUGGAGCUCAACUCCAGAAUUGCCUCCGAUACUGGCAGUCUCGAGUGCGGGAGAGGUGAGUGGAAUUCCCAGUGUAGAGGUGAAAUUCGUAGAUAUUGGGAAGAACACCAGUGGCGAAGGCGGCUCACUGGCCCGUAACUGACGCUGAGGUGGCGAAAAGCGUGGGGAGCAACACGG
rnacentral:rRNA from 1 species